rnacentral:lncRNA from 1 species
CACGUGUUGAAUGCAGGGAGAGAGAAUGAACGAAGACCAGCUGUGAGAAAUGAGAGGAAGGAACCCUGGGGAAGUUGGCAGUGAAGCCCAGGUGUAGGUGUUUCAGUCAAAGCCGACUCAGGAGCCGUCCUGAGCUGGAGGAGAGGUGGUCGCCCCAGCACUCCAGUCUGAGGCUCACACCCCUGCUCCCCAGGGCUGCAGCUACGUGGAAGCAGCCCCGUCCAGUGUCCAUCGGUGCCUGACCAAGCUCCAUGCCAAUGAUUGCGAAUGAGCACGUGUUAAUGCAAGAGAUGCCAAGAGAGGGGAUUAUAAUAAAGGGGGAAGUCAUAAUGUGUCUAGCA